GAUAGUAUGCUAGUUGUUUCAGCCGAGUUGAUUGCAAAUCGUUCGUGUGCGCCGCGCCUUACUCAUACACAAAUAAGUCGGUACGUAACAUUCUAUAUAAUAUUGAGGCAGACAACACGACUGCAUUUGAUAAAAAUAUCUGUACCAGGUCGUCAUAAAAAUGAGAGUAUUGUGUUUGAUUUUAUUUGCUAGUUUUAUGUGCGCCUGCGCAAGAAAAGACCUCAGCUACUUCCUUCCUAUACGGAUUAAAAUGUGUCGAGCAAAUUAAAAAAGGCAAAACAUUUUACAUAAACAAGGACAAUAAGUAGACUGUUUUGGUGGCGUUGUAUAGCAUUGUACUAUCACCGCUGUGAAGUCUCAGAUUUAAGCUCCGGGUCGGGGAAUCUUUUUUUUAUUGCUUUGAAUGAGAAGACGAACUUGCCGUUCGCCUCAUAGAAAGCGAUACGACCGCAUUAGAAACACCUUGAAUUACGAAGUAUUGUUUGAAAUUCCGCUGCGCUCGCCAACCUGAGACGAGAUGUUGUCAUUGUAUGUCCAGUAGUUACACCGUCUACAAUGUCCUUCAAACCGGAACACAACAGCGACUUCACACUGCUGCUUAGCGGCAGAAAUAGACAUUGCGGUGGUACCUACCCAGGCGGACUCUCACAUUGAGAGCCCACCACCAGUAAUCUUAAUUAUUGAUAAAAUAAAUUAGAUUUGGUUUCGACGUAAACAAGAAAGGAUGUGUGAAAUUCUUCUACGGAGGCUGCAAUGGCAAUGAGAACAAUUACGACACAAUUGAAAAGUGCCAGCAUCUCUGCGAAUAAAAUAAAGGAGUCUUAAGGGGAUGCAAUUUAUAAGAAAUACAAACUACAACGUAAUAAUAUACACGAACUUGUGCGCUCUGGAAUGAACAUCCACCCAUGAUGUUUCCUCGGCGUUAUGACUUAUCCUUCUUCAAACAAGGUUUAAAAAAAGUGAUCACUCUAGGCAGUAGCUUAUCUGUGACUCUGGUACUGUCUACGUUCAUGGGCGACGGUAACCACUUACCAUCAUAUGGACCGUUACCUCAUCUGCUUUCAGUAGCAAUAAACAACACUUUUUGUUAACUAAGCUAAAGUUAAAGUUAUAAAAAUAUCACUAAAGUAAAAACAGGUUACCACGAGCGACAUUAUUUCUAGAACAAAUAAUAGUAACUUUUAUCACUCUGCUAAAGACAAUUUAUAUAUGCUUACAAAUUAUAUUGCACAUGUGUUUUUUGCUUACCAAAUUUGACAUUGGCUGAAUCGUAGUAAAAACGAUACGGCCAGUCAUUAAUUGUAUUUCUUUUAUUUGCAUUUUUUAGAAAAUGCCAGCUACUACCAACUAAAACUAAACUAAUUAAGCAAUUUUAUUGUUAAACAUCAACUUAUCGCUUAUUUUAUGGUAAAUUGAUACGUUUUUAUU